AUUGAACGCUGGCGGCAGGCCUAACACAUGCAAGUCGAGCGGCAGCGGGAAAGUAGCUUGCUACUUUUGCCGGCGAGCGGCGGACGGGUGAGUAAUGCCUGGGAAAUUGCCCAGUCGAGGGGGAUAACAGUUGGAAACGACUGCUAAUACCGCAUACGCCCUACGGGGGAAAGCAGGGGACCUUCGGGCCUUGCGCGAUUGGAUAUGCCCAGGUGGGAUUAGCUAGUUGGUGAGGUAAUGGCUCACCAAGGCGACGAUCCCUAGGUGGUCUGAGAGGAGGUACAGCCACACGGGAACUGAGACACGGCCCGGACUCCUACGGGAGGAAGCGGUGGGGAAUAUUGCACAAUGGGGGAAACCCUGAUGCAGCCAUGCCGCGGGUGUGAAGAAGGCCUUCGGGUUGUAAAGCACUUUCAGCGAGGAGGAAAGGUCAGUAGCUAAUAUCUGCUGACUGUGACGUUACUCGCAGAAGAAGCACCGGCUAACUCCGUGCCAGCCGCCGCCGUAA
rnacentral:rRNA from 1 species